GAGCUAAUACCGGAUAACAUAUUGAACCGCAUGGUUCAAUAGUGAAAGGCGGCUUUGCUGUCACUUAUAGAUGGAUCCGCGCCGUAUUAGCUAGUUGGUAAGGUAACGGCUUACCAAGGCAACGAUACGUAGCCGACCUGAGAGGGUGAUCGGCCACACUGGAACUGAGACACGGUCCAG
rnacentral:rRNA from 1 species